GUGCCAGCAGCCGCGGUAAUACGGAGGUUGCAAGCGUUGUUCGGAUUUACUGGGCGUAAAGGGAGCGCAGGCGGCCAAGUCAGUCUAAAGUGAAAUCCCGGGGCUCAACCUCGGACGUGCUUUGGAUACUGCUUGGCUUGAGUACGUGAGAGGUAAGCGGAAUUCCAGGUGUAGCGGUGAAAUGCGUAGAUAUCUGGAGGAACACCGGUGGCGAAAGCGGCUUACUGGCACGAGACUGACGCUGAGGCUCGAAAGCGUGGGGAGCGAACGGGAUUAGAUACCCCGGUAGUCCACGCCGUAAACGUUGUGCACUAGGUGUGGGAGGUAUCGACCCCUUCCGUGCCGUAGCUAACGCAUUAAGUGCACCGCCUGGGGAGUACGCUCGCAAGAGUGAAACUCAAAGAAAUUGACGGGA
rnacentral:rRNA from 1 species